GGGGAAUAUUGCGCAAUGGGGGCAACCCUGACGCAGCCAUGCCGCGUGAAUGAGGAAGGCCUUCGGGUUGUAAAGUUCUUUCGGUGACGAGGAAGGUUGUUGUGUUAAUAGCGCAACAAAUUAACGUUAAUCACAGAAGAAGCACCGGCUAACUCCGUGCCAGCAGCCGCGGUAAUACGGAGGGUGCGAGCGUUAAUCGGAAUAACUGGGCGUAAAGGGCACGCAGGCGGCUAUUUAAGUGAGGUGUGAAAUCCCCGGGCUUAACCUGGGAAUUGCAUUUCAGACUGGGUAGCUAGAGUACUUUAGGGAGGGGUAGAAUUCCACGUGUAGCGGUGAAAUGCGUAGAGAUGUGGAGGAAUACCGAAGGCGAAGGCAGCCCCUUGGGAAUGUACUGACGCUCAUGUGCGAAAGCGUGGGGAGCAAACAGGAUUAGAUACCCUGGUAGUCCACGCUGUAAACGCUGUCGAUUUGGGGAUUGGGCUUUAAGCUUGGUGCCCGUAGCUAACGUGAUAAAUCGACCGCCUGGGGAGUACGGCCGCAAGGUUA
rnacentral:rRNA from 1 species